CUGUGUGUUGUUGGGUAGGGGAGCGUUCUGUAAGCCUGUGAAGGUGGCCUGUGAGGGUUGCUGGAGGUAUCAGAAGUGCGAAUGCUGACAUAAGUAACGAUAAAGCGGGUGAAAAGCCCGCUCGCCGGAAGACCAAGGGUUCCUGUCCAACGUUAAUCGGGGCAGGGUGAGUCGACCCCUAAGGCGAGGCCGAAAGGCGUAGUCGAUGGGAAACGGGUUAAUAUUCCCGUACUUGGUGUUACUGCGAAGGGGGGACGGAGAAGGCUAUGUUGGCCGGGCGACGGUUGUCCCGGUUUAAGCGUGUAGGUGUGUGUUCCAGGUAAAUCCGGUUCACUUUAACACUGAGGCGUGACGACGAGGCACUACGGUGCUGAAGCAACAAAUGCCCUGCUUCCAGGAAAAGCCUCUAAGCAUCAGGUAACAUCAAAUCGUACCCCAAACCGACACAGGUGGUCAGGUAGAGAAUACCAAGGCGCUUGAGAGAACUCGGGUGAAGGAACUAGGCAAAAUGGUGCCGUAACUUCGGGAGAAGGCACGCUGACACGUAGGUGAAGUGAUUUACUCAUGGAGCUGAAGUCAGUCGAAGAUACCAGCUGGCUGCAACUGUUUAUUAAAAACACAGCACUGUGCAAACACGAAAGUGGACGUAUACGGUGUGACGCCUGCCCGGUGCCGGAAGGUUAAUUGAUGGGGUCAGCGCAAGCGAAGCUCCUGAUCGAAGCCCCGGUAAACGGCGGCCGUAACUAUAACGGUCCUAAGGUAGCGAAAUUCCUUGUCGGGUAAGUUCCGACCUGCACGAAUGGCGUAAUGAUGGCCAGGCUGUCUCCACCCGAGACUCAGUGAAAUUGAACUCGCUGUGAAGAUGCAGUGUACCCGCGGCAAGACGGAAAGACCCCGUGAACCUUUACUAUAGCUUGACACUGAACAUUGAGCCUUGAUGUGUAGGAUAGGUGGGAGGCUUUGAAGUGUGGACGCCAGUCUGCAUGGAGCCGACCUUGAAAUACCACCCUUUAAUGUUU
rnacentral:rRNA from 1 species